CGACACUUGGAAAAAAUUAGACAAACUAUUUUCCAUAUUCCUUUCUCUAUUGUUCAGAAUAAAAUCCCCAAACAAUCCGAUAUCUUUCUAUCGUCUCUGGCUUUCUCAGCCAAACCUUAAAAACUCUAUCUCUAGGAUUUUUUUCUUCUUUCCUCUUCUUCUUCGUUUUCGUUUUUAACUUCUGGUGUUGGAAAGUGACAACGAUUCUCUAGCUUCUUCUUCUUCUUCUCUUCGUUUGCGAUUUAUUUGUUUAGCAGCUGCGUUGGUUCUGAGAUUUCCGGUGGAAUCUUGGAUGGCAUUGGAACAGCAAUUGAAGAAAGAAGAAGAAGAUCACUCGAGGAGGAAUAACAGAUAAACGGCAAUCUCUUCCAGGCAAGCUGUUGCGACUCUGUGCUGUAUCACAAGACGUGCUCGUGGCUUCAGUUUCGUCGUCUUUACUGAUCCUUGUGUUGCAGAAAGAGUCACCAUGGAGAAAACACCAUCGAUGGCCGCACGGUACCAAAAUCAUAAAACCAUCUUUUAACUUUAUCUUUUUGCAUAUUAAGUUAAGUGGUAACAAUCAUUUUUAUAGGUUGAGGCAAAGAAGGCUGUGCCUCGAGAUGAUCAGGUUAUUUGACUUUCAGUAACUAACAAGUUUCGAAUUGUUACAGUUUCCCUAGGAAAGCCGUUGGAGUUUCAAUCGGUGGCUCUGCUGCUCUGAAAGCUUGAUUCUUUCUAUUCUGUAUUAUUGAAAACAUGCCAUGUUCUAAGUUUCUGCUUUAUAGAAAUCAUAGAACUUGAAAAGGGUAAUCAUUAUAGUAGUGAAGAAUCCUUUGAUAUGGUGAUACUUAUAUUAGUAAUCCACGAGUUUUGUUCAGUAGAGAAAACUAUGUGUGUGUGUGUUUAAGCUAGUUUUCCAUUGAUUCUGAACAGGCACCUGCUCAAGGUGAGGUGUCUUUACAUGAAUGCUUGAUUCUUGUUCAAAUCUUAGUUUCUGUUCUCUAUUAUUAAACAGUGAGAUGCUCCAAGUUUCUGCUUAAUAGAAAUCAUAGACCUUUGUGUGUGUGUGUUUGAGCUAGUUUUUCAUUAAACAGUGAGAUGCGACCUUGAUAAGGGUUUAGAAAUCUAUUAUUAAACAGUGAGAAUGCUCUGUCCACGAGUUGUGUUAAGCUUUUCUCCAUUGAUUGUGAACAGGCACCUGCUGAUGACAUAUCUGUUUGGUGACGAGACUGAGGAGGAAAAAAAAGUUGCAGAGGGGACACCAAGAAGCCCAAAGAGAAAAAACUGGUUUCAGUUGGUUACGGUAUCAAGAAGCUCACGAUCAUCCACCAAGCUCGAAUGACAAAAGCUGAGAAGUAUUAUUUCUUCAACAGAUCAAUACAGAAAAUUUUCAAAAAAUUGUAUGAUUAACAGAUGUAACAUAUCAAAUAUAUAUUUGUUGAAAUGUUUAUUUUUGGCUUAUUAUGUAUCAAAUCUCAGUAUCUCAUCCAAACACGUUUCGAUGCA